rnacentral:rRNA from 1 species
GCAGAGAGGUCACACCCGUUCCCAUACCGAACACGGAAGUUAAGCUCUCUAGCGCCGAUGGUAGUUGGGACCUUGUCCCUGUGAGAGUAGGACGUCGCCCAGCA